rnacentral:rRNA from 1 species
UACGGAGGGUCCAAGCGUUAUCCGGAAUCAUUGGGUUUAAAGGGUUCGCAGGCGGUCUAUUAAGUCAGUGGUGAAAUCCCGGGGCUCAACCCCGGAACUGCCAUUGAUACUGAUAGACUUGAGUUGAGUUGAGGUAGGCGGAAUGUGUAGUGUAGCGGUGAAAUGCUUAGAUAUUACACAGAACACCGAUAGCGAAGGCAGCUUACCAAACUCAUACUGACGCUCAUGAACGAAAGCGUGGGGAGCGAACAGG